GAUCAUGGCUCAGGAUGAACGCUAGCUACAGGCUUAACACAUGCAAGUUGAGGGGAAACGAUAUUGGAAGCUUGCUUCCGAUAGGCGUCGACCGGCGCACGGGUGAGUAACGCGUAUCCAACCUGCCCAUCACUUGGGAAUAACCUUGCGAAAGUAAGACUAAUGCCCAAUGACAUUUAUAGAAGGCAUCGGAAAUGAAUUAAAGAUUUAUCGGUGAUGGAUGGGGAUGCGUCUGGUUAG
rnacentral:rRNA from 1 species